CCUACGGGGGGCAGCAGUGAGGAAUAUUGGUCAAUGGUCGGGAGACUGAACCAGCCAAGCCGCGUGAGGGAUGAAGGUACAGAGUAUCGUAAACCUCUUUUGUCAGGGAACAAAGGCGGGGACGUGUCCCCGGCUGAGUGUACCUGAAGAAAAAGCAUCGGCUAACUCCGUGCCAGCAGCCGCGGUAAUACGGAGGAUGCGAGCGUUAUCCGGAUUUAUUGGGUUUAAAGGGUGCGCAGGCGGUCUGUUAAGUCAGCGGUCAAAGCACGGGGCUCAACCCCGGCCCGCCGUUGAAACUGGCAGUCUCGAGUUGGAGAGAGGUAUGCGGAAGGCGCGGUGUAGCGGUGAAAUGCAUAGAUAUCGCGAAGAACUCCGAUUGCGAAGGCAGCAUGCCGGCUCCACACUGACGCUGAGGCACGAAGGCGUGGGUAUCGAACAGGAUUAGAUACCCGUGUAGUC
rnacentral:rRNA from 1 species